UAUAGUGCAGGUAACCAGUAUUACGGGUCAACCAAACCAGCUCUACAAAACAUCAACUCUUCCUAAAUCGGUUGAUAAUGAGGGUUGGAAAAAGGGAAGAAGAAUCGUUGAGACUUGAGUUUGGCGUGUUACGGUCAACCCUAAGAUUUUGUAAAAAAUGUAGACUUGGACCAGUAGGCUACCAUUAACUUUUGACAACAUGUUAGGUGAAUUUAAACAGGGUGUGUCUGGAUAUUUGUAUGUGAAAUGUCGAAACACAGAAAUUAUGCGGUCAUGUGAAUUGUGUUCCCUAUGGAAAAACACAGACUCUAGUAGUAGUAGAUUGAAGACCUGGGAAAGUUGGAAUGCCAUGUUUCGUUGUCAACACAAAAUUAGGACCAGCAAUGAUUGAUAGUGUAGGUGGGCCGGUGAGGGGAGGGUCAACAAUUUGUUGUCAACACUCAAUAUACCAACAAUUGGAAAUAAAAACAUGAAAAGAAAUGGAGAGACGUGUUGGAAAUAUCAUUGAGACAGUGGCUUCUAUCUGUCUAUGUCGACAGAAUCUGCUGCGAAAGAUCAAGGAAAUUGAGGAUGUGCAUCAUGAAGAAUCAAUGGUAUCAGAACACAACAUCAUGGAAGAUCUUAUUGACAAGAUCUUGGAGGAUGUCCUUUGCCAGAUGCCUCGCCAGCACUAAAGUCUAUUCUUCAGUCAGAUGCUACAGUUACAAAUGACAGUGAAUGGUCAGAUUUAUACAAUUGUGAUGAACAAUCCUCAACAAUACAUCAAACAAAAAUUGCUAUUAAACUUUCUCACAGACAGUCAAAGGUUGAAAACAAAUCAGAAGUGGUCCACAUCUUGAAAAACCUCACAGCAGAUUAAGACUUUCCCCGAAAUUUCCCUGUAAAACCAGCAGUGGUAUGUCCAAUUCAGUAGAUACUGCCUGGCACAAAAGAGGAUUUGACAGUUUAACAUUGUACUGCAUCAAUAAACUAAAUAUGGAGAGUAGCUUAGUCACCAAAGCAGUCAACACCAAAAUACACACAAUGGCCAGGGCACUGAAACUUGGAAGAGUGAAAGAGUAAAGUAGUGCGUUUUUAGCUUACAAAGUGACAUUGUGAGCU